rnacentral:misc_RNA from 1 species
UGCGGGUCGUUUUUUGGGGACGCACUGUGUUGGACUUUCUUCCUGUUUCUGUGGACUUCCUUGCUCUUCCAUCAUCCAAUUUUCCAUCUCUACAAGACUUUGAUCACGAUCACUCUAAUUCCGAGAGCUAAAACUGCGAUCUAGAACAACAAUUAGACGCUGGGAGAAUCAAGAAUGGAGAACGCUGACGUCUUCCUGGGUUUGCACGACUUCCUUGAGCGCAUGCGCCAACCAUCAGCCGCCGAUUUCGUCAAAUCCAUCAAGAGCUUCAUUGUCUCUUUUUCAAACAAUGCUCCUGAUCCAGAGAAGGACAGUUCUAUGGUACAGGAGUUCCUUGCCAAGAUGGAAGCGGCUUUCAGGGCUCAUCCACUCUGGGCUGGUUGCUCAGAUGAGGAGCUGGAGAGUGCUGGUGAAGGACUCGAGAAGUAUGUAAUGACAAAGUUAUUUACCCGUGUAUUUGCUUCACUUCCAGAUGAUGUUAAAGUUGAUGAGAAACUUUCUCAUAAGAUGUCUUUGAUUCAACAAUUCAUAAGGCCUGAAAAUUUGGACAUUAAGCCAACCUUUCAAAAUGAAACAUCAUGGCUGCUUGCCCAGAAAGAACUGCAAAAGAUCAAUAUGUACAAAGCACCGAGAGACAAACUUGUGUGCAUUCUCAAUUGUUGCAAGGUCAUAAAUAACUUACUGCUUAAUGCUUCAAUUGCUUCCAAUGAGAAUCCUCCUGGGGCUGAUGAAUUUCUUCCUGUACUAAUAUAUGUUACUAUAAAGGCAAACCCUCCGCAGCUGCACUCAAAUUUAUUGUAUAUACAACGGUACAGGUGUCAAUCCCGGCUAGUUGCAGAAGCAGCCUACUUUUUCACAAAUAUGCUCUCCGCAGAGUCUUUCAUCUCAAACAUUAAUGCAGAAUCCCUUUCAAUAGAGGAAACUGAAUUUGAAAGGAACAUGGAAUUUGCUCGAGCUCUUCUAUCUGGGCUUUCAACUGAUUUGGAUAGUCUGUCUAAUCAAAGUGAUCAAAAUGUAGGAAAUAAUCUUAAUACAGAAGUUUUGGAAUCCAAACUUCAAGCUUUAAAUUCUAAUAAGGAAAGGGACUCCUCGAUUAGAUCCAAAUCUUCUGAAACAAGAUCUGGCAGCAAGGACAUACAAUAUGUGAAAGAUGAGCCAUCUGUGGCAAAGGUUCCGUCCCUCUCAGAUAUAGAGGAUAAAGGAGCAUUGAUGCUUUUGAAAGAGGAUCUGGCAAGUGUAGUCUUUCGAGAAUACCCAUAUUUGUUUGCUCAUACUGGUGAUCUGACAAUCAAUGAUGUAGAAGACCUACUGAAUAAUUACAAACAGCUGGUUUUCAAGUAUGUUUGUCUUUCCAAAGGGCUGGGUGGUGCUACCCCAUCUCUUCUUCUGUCCAAUUCUCAAGUUUAUCACCACCAUGAAGCUGAAACUGUCAAAGAAAAUCAGGACACCAGAACAGUAGAGCCAGAUGAUGAAUCACAAAAACAUACUACUAUGAUGAAUAGUUCACGUACUGUUUCUCUCGUCAGUGAAGAAAAUAUCAAAUCAAAGUCCCCACUUGAUGAGGCAAUGGCACCUCAAGAGGAGGGAAAGGAGGAGACUUCUUAAUGAUAGCUCAAUGAGGCUGGGUCAUGUAGGAGUAAUGAAAAUUUCAAUACUCCAGCUGCAAUUAGAGCUGCUUGUUUUUCUUUAUGCUGAAAGAACUAUUUUGACUUUGGGUUUCAAGUGCAGGGAGAACAAUGAGGGACCAAUUGGAUAUCUAUUGUUUCAUUUUGCAACACAUACAAAUGUUGUUUCCAUGAAGGUAUACGUACAACUGACCUCUCUUCAGCACCUGAUCCCAGAAUACAUCUUUUUUUUCCCCAGUUGCAUGUAGCAUAAUUGAUCAUAUGUUAGCAGAAUGCACAUGAAAAUGGAUGAUUAGAUUCUCGACAGACUACUUGUUGCUUUACCCAUCAAGAGGUACAUACUUGCAGUUCUUUCCCCUGUUUUUUGUUCUCUAGUAAUCCAUGCUGUAAAUUAUUGCAGUACUGCUAACUGAGCUCUUGAUUGUGUUGCUUCUUUAUUUAUUUAUUUUUAUUUUGUAUAUAGUGUCGGGAGUGAUUAGAUUCUAACUGUUGUAGUCUUUUCUUUGGAAUUUUCUAGCUGUUAUCAAGCAUGGCCGAGUGCUUUUACACAACAUUUUUUCCUUACCUAGUUAACUACUUUAAAUAAGCUUUUUGUUAGUUUUCACGCAUGAAUGCCCUGCUUAUAGAAGUUCUAAAAACUGACCAACAUGCAUAAAGUGGAAGGCCUAUUAUUAUCAUUAUUAAAAUAAAAACUUGUAAUUUUUUUUUUCAUUAUAUUCACUUAGAGCCGACAGAUGUAUUCUAGAAAUGAAAAGUACACCAUACACUAUUGGGGUGUGUAUGAUGAAAUUCUGACGUGGUAUAAUCAAUUAUUUGUUGAUUUGUCAAGCUUGACAUUUGAAGCUGACAGUCCAAACUAAAACUCACAUUUGAAGGCCGCCUUAGGAUUUCAGAAAAUGUGAGCUAUAGGACACUAAAAUGUGGUUUCAUUUCAAAGAAUCACAUCAGCAGCAAACGUGACAUCUCUUCAUCCUGCAUUAUUUAUUGAUUACAUUACUAUCUGGAACAGAAGCUAUGUUUAUUUCAUUAUAUUGUUACAAGUAGGUAGCUUAAAAGGACCUGUUUGGCAUUUCUGUUGUAAUUGUUAUUGAAAAAAUUAUUAUUUUUU